GGGGAGGGGGGUUGGUGAACAGAAGUGUGCUAGUAAAUUCUUUAUUUUACGGCCAAACGUGAGACUUCGCCACGCAAAAUCUAUUUUAGUUAACCCAAAUACGAUUGUUCGACACCGAAUGAAAAAAUGAAAAACAAAUCUAACGCGAAGAGCUGACAGGCGACAACAACUAGUGGGCGGUGCCUCUGCAGCUACCCUACUGAUCAGCAAUAAGUUACAUGCCGCAAAGUGGCGGUGGCUGAGUAGGAAUAUAUGAAUAUGAUUACACGUGCAUGCAAGCAGGUAUGUAAAAUGAAACCGACAAAUCGCAUCAACUCAAUAAUUCGAAUCAAAUUGAGAAAAAAAGUCCGACUAUAAUUUAAUUUGAUUGGUUUGGUGAUGAAAAAAAAAAACCCGACGAUAUUUGGUUUGGUAUGGUUUUAACUAAAAAUAGUCAAACCAAAACUAAAUCAACCCGAUAUUAUAUGUAUAAAAUUUUUAAAUAUAUUUAAUACAUAAAAAUAUUUAUUAUAGUGUAGUUUAUAAAUAUUUCUUAAAUUUUUUUAUAAUUUUAUAUUUUAACGUAUUAUUUCAAGCUUGGGCUUAUAAUUUUUGGAUGCUCCAAUAAGUUUUAUAGUCCAUAAAUGUUAGUAACUCAAAUAAAUCCUAAACCAAAAUCAAAUUAAUACUAAUGAUAAUAAAAGAUAUUCAAUUCAAUUGUACUAUGAAUGAAAAUAGUGUUGAAUAUCUAUUUUUUUAAUUUUUCCAUGGUUUAAAUAAAAUGCAUAACUUAUUAUUUUUUAGUGUUUAGUCAUGUAAAUAAUAAGUAGUACUUAUUAGUCGUACUUAUUUUAGCAACUUAUUAGUAAUUUUAAAUUAUGUUUGUUUUUAUUAUGGCUUGUUAAUUAUAUUUAUUUUAUGCGAUUUACUCAUCUUAAUUGUUGAAUAUUUUAGUACAAUAUCAUGAAUCAUCUCAUAUUUAUGUUAUUUUAUUUAAAAAAUACCUUAUAUAGUUCUGUCUUACUAGGAUUACAGAAAUAUUUGAACCACAAAUUCUAUGUUUUGUGCUAUAGAGACUUUAUGAUAAAAAAACUCGAAACAAUCUGAAAACCCGAAAAACUCGAGAAAAAACGAGAUUUAAAACCCGACUUUUAUUUGUUUGGUUUGGUCUUUAGAUUUAAUAAUCCGAUAUACUUGAUUUGGUUUGGUAAUUAAAAAAUUCGAACCAACCCGACAUAUUUAAACCAGUGCAAGUCUCAACAAAUUAAAUGGGGUCCCCCACAAUUUUCCUUUUACAGAAAUAUACUGGCAAAAAGGUCUCCCCAAUUUUGUGCCUACGAAAUCGAUGUCCACAUCCAGCUGCAGUACAACGCUCCAGCUCCUAUGCAUUAUUGUCCCCACCAUUUCCUUUUUAUAGAAAUAUAAGCAACAUGCCAACCUACCAUUGGCUCAAUAAAUUGAUACUUGCAGAUAUUAGCAGAGAUUCCACCACCCAUUGUGGGAAAAAGUUGAAAAACAAUAUAUUCAAUGAAAUUCACAAUCUCUGAUUGGUCUACAUCUCUUCUUUGUGAAAAUUAUUUUUUCAUAUUUGAAAAUAAUUUAUUUUUAUGUAAUAAUUUAUAACCACACAAAAUAUAUAUAUCUCAUUUUACACCACAAGUUUAAAUUUUUUUUUUUUUUUUUCUAAACUUUAUGCUCAGUCAAAAUAGACUCACAUAAAUUAUACCGAGGGAGUAUAUCCAACGUACAUUGAUAAGGCAGCAAUAAAAGGUUUGCACAUAUCCUACAUGAUCAGAUUUACAAACAGACCGACACAUAUGCAGAUAUGGAUCUUUGUUUAUGUAUUUUGAGGUGUGAGGAUUACAUUUGUUAGAUUUUGUCCCAAAUCCUUUUUGGCCGAGCUGCAAAAUCGGCUUCUUUUGAGAAUAAUUUUUUUUAAAAGUAUUUUUCGAAAAAGUACUUUUAAAGAAAAAUAGUUUGUGUUUGACAAAUCAAUUUGAAAAGUACUUUUGAACAAUAAUUUAUGUUUGACCAAACUUUUCAAAAAAUACUUUUUUAAGUGUCAAAUUACAAAUAAGGACAUAAAGCGAUUUGCUUAAUAGUUAAUAUUACAUAAGUAGAUAAAUAAUUACAAAUAUUUAUUAUUAAAGAUAAUAAUUAAGUUUUUUAUUUUAUUUAAGUAAAAUAUAAAAAUAAAAUUGAGAAGUACUUUAUUCUUUCAAAAUAAUUUAAAUAUAUCAAAAAAUCAUUCAAUAAAUAUGAAUGUUCAUCCCAAAAGUCAUUUUAUAUUACUUAAUAGUUUAAACUAAGUAAGGUUAUUUUGGUGUAUAUAAUAUUUUGUAAAGGGUAUUUUUUGGGAGGAAGAAAAGUUGCAACUACUUCUGCUUUUACUUUUGAAAAAAAGCUAUUUUUUAUGCUUUUUCAAAACUGUUUCUAGCCAAAAGUAUUUUUCUUCCAAAAAAUAUCUUGGCCAAAUACUUCAAAUUAAAAAUAAAAAUAAAAAUUUGCAUGACUAGAAGCUUGGCCAAACAGGCUAUUGUUGUCAUUGGGCUACUGAACACUUCUUUUCUCUAUCUCUCACUUCCUUUCUAUAUUGGGAAGUUCUUUAUGCUUACUGAUAAGUGAUUAAGUUCACAUGCUCUCUGUGGGGUUUUAAAUGACCAAGGAAUCUCAAGGGCUUCUUACAGCGUUUUGGAAAAGAGUUCCUUCUACGCACUAAAAAAUAUUUACAUAAUUAAGUUGUUUGAAAUUAAUACAAUUAACUCGAUUUGAUUAAUCUGACUUGGGUAAUGUAACGACUAGGUUGCUAUAUGUGGUGAUUAGUUAGCGUGAUAUUUUGCUACAACAAAAAAGACUUUUAACGGCAAUAAAUAUGCAAUUUAACGGCAAUUACAAUUGUCACUAAAACUUUUAACCGCAAAUUAAUUAUUUGCCGCUGUAUCCAGCGUCGCUAAAGGCAUUAGCGGCAAUUAUAGAGAGUGUUGGUAAAAGACCCAAUUAUUGCCGCUAAAACAUAUGACUUUUUGCGGCAAUCUUUUAUUGAUAAUUAACAUGGCCACUAAACCUACCCUCCACCUAACCCUUUUAUAUGGUUUUAAUGGCUUUUAUAAUGGCCGGUAAAUAUUCAUUUUAUUGUCGAUAAACAGAUGUUGCAAUGGCCAUUGUGAUGACAACUAAAAUUAUGCCUAUAUUUGCCUUUUAUCUUCGCAUUUAACCCCUUUUUAUUUUUGAUAAAUUAUGCACAAAUAGGCAAAUACUAAUAUAUGUCUAUUUAGCAUUCAGUGUGAUUCUAACAUCAAUAUUCUCUUUACAUAUACUAAUAAAAUAUGCUAAUAUUCAUUCUAGAAAGCAUAAUAUAUUGAAUAAAAUUCACAAUAAUCAAAAUCAAUCCAUAAUUUUAGAGUGUCAAGAGUAUAAAAGAAAAAGUACACCAUUUGAAUUCAAAAGCUAGUGUCAUUUAGAGUCUAAUAACUAUUGUCAUCAACGCCAUAUAUUACAAGACAGUAGUUAGUGCAUUAAUACUUCUCUAACUCUUGAUAUCUCCCACAAGCUAAAUCUCUAAAUAUCACAGCGUGUGACCUAGAAAGAUAAAACAAAAUAAAUGUCACAUAUAGUUCAUCAAUUCAUCUGUGUAAGAUGUAUGAACAUAAUAAAAUAUCUAAAUUUAAAGCAUUUUUGCAGCUCCUCUACUAACAAGUUACUUCACAUAUUGCUACUAAAUAUUGUCUGGCAUAUCCACAAACAUUAUCAACUGCAGAAGAUUAACCUAUGAAGAGCUAAAUUUCCAUAAAAGUAAAUGGGAUGACAAAAGAAUAUAUUACUAUUUGUUUGGAUUGGAGGCCACCAUAUAUCACUUAAUCAGUAAAGACACUCAUCAACCAAAAAAAGAAAAAAGAAACGAGCAUUUCACUUGAUAAAUGCAGGUAUAAUGAAACAAGAGCUCCUAAAAUAUGAGAGAAGAGAAACAACCUCCAUUGAAGAUACUAUCACUAAACAAACAAGGUUCGCAAGAAAUAAUAAAAGCAUAGUGAUAGCUAGCUUCUCAUCAAGAACAUCUGAUAGUCAAUCGUUAAGCACAUAUGGCAAUUGAGACAAUAAUAGUAUCAAGGGUCCUAUUUCACUUUCAUACUAACUCCAACAGUUUCUAAAACUAAGCAUUAGGGUAGACUGGAAAAGAUAUUGAUUUUACUUAAAGUUGUCAAUAGGUAGGAGCUAAGUUAACAACCACUGUAAAAUUCUAAUGUACAUACAUCCAAAAUGUAUAUAAAUUAAAAUAAAUACUGCAAUAAAAAAGUACAAGAUAAUUCGUAGUGAAGACUAACCUUUCUACCAGAAGGGCAACUUCGGUUGAUUCACCAAUUUUCUCACAUGUCCUCUGGUUUGGAUUGAAUUUUAUUACAGACUUAGUGUAACGAGCAGAACAAACUGCUAUAUGAAGAAGGCAAGGAGUUCUAUGCAGGAAUCUCAAGCAGCAGAGAGGAAAAUAGAUAUUUGUAUACGGUCGAAAUUGAGCUCGAUUACAACUUGCUAGAUUAGGCUUGGGACGUGGUGGUCAAGGGCUGAAGAUCGACCUCGAGUCCCAUCGAGCUAGAAUCCGAGGUCGAAAAGCCUGCCUUCGAGGAACCUUGAGUCCGAUAUCGGCCUUAACCUCGAGCGAGCUCGGAGAAACAUUGUUGAGAUAACUAACAGAAGACUGAAAUACCCGUAGCCGGUCGGAUAUUACGGCUGGAAUCUCGGCACGAAUCAAUAAGGAACCGACAAUUAGCAAAUCAAGAGAUCUUUUUCCUUUUAUAGAAUUGUACCUAAAGUAGGAUUCCUCUACUAUAUAAAAGGGGCUUGAUUAUUCAUUUUAUACAUCGUAACAUGCAUCCCAAAGCGAUAUAUUAUUAUUCUCCUUAAGUUUUAUUCAUUCUCUUGUUGUUCUGUUCGGAUAUCAAUCAAAACACUUUUGGCUCGAGAGUGGCUAACCUUCCAAGGCUACGACUGCUCA
rnacentral:lncRNA from 1 species